UACGACCUACGGGUGAAAGCAGGGGACCUUCGGGCCUUGCGCGAUUGAAUGAGCCGAUGUCGGAUUAGCUAGUUGGCGGGGUAAAGGCCCACCAAGGCGACGAUCCGUAGCUGGUCUGAGAGGAUGAUCAGCCACACUGGAACUGAGACACGGUCCAGCUCCUACGGGAGGCAGCAGUGGGGAAUAUUGGACAAUGGGCGCAAGCCUGAUCCAGCCAUACCGCGUGGGUGAAGAAGGCCUUCGGGUUGUAAAGCCCUUUUGUUGGGAAAGAAAUCCAGCUGCUAAUACCCGGUUGGAUGACGGUACCCAAAGAAUAAGCACCGGCUAACUUCGUGCCAGCAGCCGCGGUAAUACGAAGGGUGCAAGCGUUACUCGGAAUUACUGGGCGUAAAGCGUGCGUAGGUGGUUAUUUAAGUCCGUUGUGAAAGCCCUGGGCUCACCUGGGAACUGCAGUGGAUACUGGAUGACUAGAAUGUGGUAGAGGGUAGCGGAAUUCCUGGUGUACAGUGAAAUGCGUAAGAUCAGAGG
rnacentral:rRNA from 1 species